rnacentral:rRNA from 1 species
GACGAACGCUGGCGGCGUGCUUAACACAUGCAAGUCGAGCGAACAGACCCUGCUUUUGUUGGGUGCUCGAGUGGCGCACGGGUGAGUAACACGUGAGUAACCUGCCCUUGACUUUGGGAUAACUUCAGGAAACUGGGGCUCAUACCGGAUAGGAGCUACUGCUGCAUGUUGUUGGUUGGUAAGUUUCGGCGGUUGUGGAUGGACUCGCGGCUUAUCCGCUUGUUGGUGUAGUAGUGGCUUACCAAGGCUGUGAAGGGUAGCCGGCCUGAGAGGGUGACCAGCGACAUGGGGACUGCGAGACGGCCCAGUCUCCUAUGGGACGCAGCAGUGGGGAACAUUGCAGAACGAGGGGAAGCGUGAUGUAGCAACGCCGCGUGCGGGAUGACGUGCUAUGGGGGGUAAACCGCUGUCGCCGUAGACGAAGCGGGAUUGACGGUAAUGGGUAAAGAAGCACCGGCUAACUACGUG